CUGGGCAUACCCCAUUUGCAAUACCUUGGGUUGUCUACUAUUGCAGAUGGUAUGCCAUUAUGGGUGUAAAUUUCAUUCCCGGGCUACUAUACAGUCUCAAAGGCAACGUAACCAAUCUGGCGAAUUUCAAUUUCAAAUGUAACGUGCUAUAUUUGACCCUGUAACUUCCCAAAACGCCAUAAAACCUGUACAUAGGGGGUACUGUCUUACACGUGAG